rnacentral:lncRNA from 1 species
GAAAUUUGAAAUUUGAAACUUUUUGAAAUUUGAAUUUGAAUUUGAAAUUUGAACUAUUUUGAAUUUGAAAUUUCAAAUUUGAAGUUGAAUUUGAAUAUUUUGAAAUUUGAAAGUUGAAAUUUGAAAUUUGAACUUUUUGAAAUUUGAAAUUUGAACUUUUUGAAAUUUGAAAUUUGAAAUCAAAAUUAAAAAUGAAUUUUAAAAUUUUAAAAUUUGAAAUUUAAAAUUUUAUGUUGAAAUUUAAAAUUUAGAAAUUGAUACAUCUUGGGGAGCCCAAAAUGGUGGAAUUUUUUUCCUUUGGUUAAAGUGGAUUGUAACUUUACUCCAUUUUUUAGAGUAUGGUAUAACUAUACUCUAAAAAUUACGUCAUUUUGUUUCUUCCAAACGCUUCAUAGGAUUAUUUUUCUAUCGGCGUAGCAUAGUUUAACUAUGCUACGUUUUUAGAGGUAUCCAAACGGGGCCUUAAAGAAAAGUGAAGUGGGGGUAAUGGAAUAGAAUAAUCUCUGUGGAAUCAUGUGUUCUUUGAGUCUAGUUUACCUCUCGUGCUUUGUGGUUUAAUUUGAAGGAAAAACUUCAAAUAUCACUCAUGUGGUUCCGUACUUUUUCACUUUAGUAUCAUAUGGUUUAAAGUGUAUCAAUUUAGUAUCUUGUGGUUUCAUUUUUCUCUUUUUAUUAUCCCCUAUACUAAUUUUUUUAGUUAAAUUAGCGACAAAAUUAAAACUAAGAGAUACUAAAGUGAAUAUUCGAUAAACCUUGGUAAGGUAUAUGAAGUUUUUUGUAUAUAAUUUAACGAAAUGCUAACGGAGGAGCUGACAAAAAGAUAACAUAGUACUAAAUUGAUACACUUUAAACCAUAAGGUACUAAAGUAAGAAGAUGUGAAAUUACAGUAAUGGCUUUUGAAGUUUAUCCUAAUUUGAAUAAAAAAUGU